CUGUCAAUUAGUAAAGGAGGUGCAACAUUUGAUUUUUGGUUUUUAACCAUUGCUUUCCCCUACACUAGCAGUUAAGCCGAAGUCUAGGACACUGCUUUAGUGUUAGAAUGUAGGAAAGGGGGCCAUAAAACUGCAAGCCCCUCCAAAAGACUGAAGCACGUUAG